ensembl:lincRNA
CUUUUUUGUGGUAGGCAAGAUGGCUGACCUAUAUCCUGCCAACUUAUCAAGCCCAAUGGAGAGUAAUAGUUUCACUAAUAUUUAUGGUGAAAAGCUAGAGAAGAACUGUUCUGACUGAGAUUACAUGCCACUUGUCCAUUCCUUAACCAAUCUCUUUAGCUAAAGGGAGAAAUACUCGGAUUGAUUGGAUAUGGAGGUCAUGACUACUCUUGUAAUUGAUGAGUGGAGUUAAUAGGGCUAUCUCAGCCACAGAACCACAGGAAAAAGUGCUUCUUAUACUGGAAAGGUCUAUCAUAAUUCUCAAUGUAAUCUGUCAUAGGCCAAUCACCUGACUAUUAUUUACAAUACGAUUUCUAGGCAAGUUUCAUGAUUCAAAUCUCCGGAAAAGGGGAGGCUUUCAGAAGUCAGGAGGUGGAUAAAGUGGUGGUCUGGGUAUACAGACAGGGUCUACUGGAUGCCUUCUAUUUGUAACAGACAAUGCUCACUAUGCCUAGAGCUCCCAUAUUUUUUUUUCUCUUUAAUCUUCAAAACAACUCUGGGAGGUAGAUAUUACUAGUCCUCAUUUUGUGGCUGGGAAAGUAAAUUGCCCAAGUUCACAAGCUUGGUCACAUAAAAAUUGGAGCCCAAUUCUGAACCCAGAUCUAAUUCUGAAAACCAUGUGCUUUUCGACAUAAGGUAAUAUUCUUAGUUGGAAAAUGCUGAUGCCCUGACAAAAGUAGAGGUUUUAUUUUGUUUUCUUUCUUUUGCUUUCCUAUUAAUCAGAACAUGUUACUUGUUAGAGGUCAACUUUGAGAAAGUGACCCAUUUCCAGGGUCCAGGAGCAUGGGUCCCAGAAGGGCUGUGAGAUCAUUAGCAUUGAAAGCAGCAAGAAGGACAAGAAAGGCUUUCAGGUGAUCUCAAGAUGGAAGACCCCCUGUUCCUCUAUAAUCAUAAUAUUCAACGGAUGGAGAUUUGCACUUACUACAUGUACUUGGAGAAGUCAAAUAAUGAACAAUGUAUGUACGACAUCUGGUGGCUCCCAGAUUAUGUUACAUCGACCUUGCCUGGAGUCUGAGCCACAGAGGUUGGUGAUCCUGUUAGCCUGAACCUUUUCUUCUAUUGAAAUCCUACACAGCAUUAACAUGGGUCAGUCUGCCUGUGCUGGCAAGAUGGGAGCUAUUAAAUUUGUCAAAGAUUCCAGUUGUGAUGAAUAUAACAGCCCCAUUUU